rnacentral:tRNA from 1 species
GCCGGCGUUCGGCCGAAUGGUAAGGCCAUGGCAAACCAUGUCUUUAAUUAGACUGCGGGUUCGACUCCCGUCGUCGGCA